rnacentral:misc_RNA from 1 species
GUGAAUUAAACAUGCUUGGUGUCUUCGCUUCGGCAAGGCCCUUGCUUAAAUCACAUCCUAACACCUGUGAACUGUAAGACGUAUGAUGAGGUCUUUGGCCAAGUCAUCGUCUGCCCAUUCUUAACAAACAAUUAAUGUAACAAACGUAGUCUUAUUAUAACCUAAUA